GCCCUGCUGAUUAUGGCGGCCUUGUGAUGGGAUCCACUACAUGACCCAACCAACCAACCCUCCACCUGUCCAGCGCUUCAUCUCUGGUCCACAGGAUAUGGCGAGUGCCUGCUGCUGAGCCUGAAGUGGGGAUGGGCAGCCAAUUGUCCCAAUACUAAAUGUGGAGAAAUCCUGUUUCAAAUGCCAACUGGAUCAUAUGCUUAUAAGAGAUAAAGAGAAGAUCCCAGAAGCCUUGAGAAACCGAAAAGUCAUGCAACAGAGGAUCAAGACUUGGGAUGGCACUGGGCUACUUCUCAUCAACCCAGAAUGCCACAUGCCAAUAAGGACUGCCUUCAGAAUGUGGAGUGGAGAUGAUUUCCAAACGAGAUUUAUACAGCCAGCCAAACUGUCAAUCAAGGAUCCAAAAACUGAACUCCCAUAUGCAGUUUCAAGGAUGCUACUGGCAUGUAUAUUAUAACUAAAAGAAGGCAGUAGACCAAGCAGGAGGGGGGCUUCGGAUCCAAGCACCAAAGAAGAAGUGUGGAAGAGAGGUUAAGGGGUUUCCUGGGAAAAUGGUGGAGGGAAAUUUCAGAAUAUCUACCAUGCAGACAUCUAGGAGGGUGUCUGGUUCAGGUCACGGCAAGAGGACAAAGGGUGUUAAGAAAAACCAAAACAGAAGUGAUCGGUUACCAAAAGAAUCUGAUUGCAUUACUAGAAAUUUUAAAACUGUAUACAUGUUUGUGGGAAGAAUUAGUAAUGUGGCUUUAAAAUGUAAAUGAAAAACAGAGGCAAUUACCAACUCCAGGGAAAACAAAAAGCUGCAUAGUUCAGCAACCACACCUGCAACACCUGAUACAAUGGUUAAUGCUUAUGUUAUCAACUUGACAGGAUCUGUAAUUGCCCAGGACAUAAGCCUCUGUGCCUGUCUGUGAAAUGUUAUCUACAUUAACUUCUGAGGGAUUUUCUUGAUUAGGCUAAUUGAGGUGGGAAGAUCUGCCCUAAAUGUGGGUGACACCAUUCCCUGGGCUGGGAUCCUGGACUCUUAGACCUGGAGAAAGGGAGUUGAGCACCAAGCAUUCAUUUCUUUGCUUCCUGACUGAAGGUGACUCCCUCACUGUGGUGGUGAUACCCUUGAAUUGUGAGUCAAGACAAACCUUCCUCCCUUAAGUUGCUUUGGUCACUAGGAAAGGAAACCCAGAGUCUUUGUUUAGCUGUUAACAACAUGUACAUGGAUCAGGUAGAAGGGGUCUCUGAGUUAGCAACUGUGAUGGGAUUACAUUGGGAGGGGAAGUGUGUGCCUCUGUGUGGUGGCUGCUGUGGAACUAGCAGUCUUCCAUAAGAGGAGGCCAACAAAUAGUAUGUGAAAUCAGAAAAGGAUGGUAUUUAGAAAUAUGAAAGUAAAUGUCAGAGGGAACGAAGAGAGGACUUGAAGUCAUCUCCUCCAAGGAGAGGUGGGUCUGCUGCUUUUCAUUAUCGGUUUCAUGCAACGAUUUGACUUUUACAAUCUCAUAACAAACUAUUGAUCAAAAUGGAAAUUUAAUUUAAAAAUGCCCAUGCAUUUAUGACCUAACUCAGCUUUUGAACCUCUCCUGCUGCUCAGGAAAUGAGCUGACCAGAAUUUUGAAGAUCAAGGGUACAGUCUCUCAGCUCUGUAAAUUGCUAGUCGUAUGGCCCAAGGCCAGUUGCUCAGUCUCUCAGAGUCUCCAUUAGUUCAACUGAGAAGCAGGGGUAAUUCCAGUA